ACAAAUGUCCCAAUCGAGGAGCAUCAUCUGGGUCUUAAGCUUUUUGUAACAUUGUAUUUCUGUAACCUUCAAUCAUUAUAUAUCAUUAACUUUUUGUUACAACGAGGUUCACAACAAACAUCAGUACAAAAUAAGUUAUCUGAAAAUAGAAAUAUUUCUAACUGAUUACAACAAUCAAAUGGAUGUCAUCUCGACCGAACAUCAUUUCCCUAGUAUCCUUAUCAGUCUUCAUUCGCACCCAACCAAAGAUACUGUCAAGUCUCUCAAUACUUCUAAUUUUUUCCCCUUCUGGUAUUUUCCCAUCUAACCAACGAAUCAGCUCCCUCUUCAGUUGAUCGAACAUAGUGAUGUUCCAGAACAACAUCAACAUCUGAGGUUUGUCUCUCGCAUAAAUCACCUUUUUGUAUCGGCGACGAACACCAAACAUGAUUGCCAAAUGAUUAAAUGAGGUGUGGAACAAUGACUCAUACAACACAUCUAUUUAUAACAAAAAAAUUGCAUUUUACACUGAGGCGUCAAUCCAAUUGGCGCCUCCUCUCAAGUUAUAGACAGGGGCGCCAAUCCAAUUGGUUAGGGCACCUGCCAUAGUCAACCCAAUUGGCGUCUGCAUUCAAUUUUUAAGAGGAGUCGCCAAUUCAAUUAGGGUCUCCUCCUAAAAAUGGGAUAGUUUGGGAUUUUUUUUGAAAUCAGGGAUAUUUUGAAAAUUUCUUUUAAAAAGUGCGUUAUUUUUGUAAAAAAUUCACACUUUUUUAUAGUAUAAAUAUAUUGUAAAAAUUAAACUUGUAUUAUGCAUUGCUAUUUGCUUUAAAUAUCAUAAUUUUGUAUCGUGUCGUAAGACAAAACUUUCUUAUAUAUUAAUUUUUUUUCUUAGUAAGAAUUUUGAAAACUGCUCCUAAAAAUUAUUAGUCAUAAUAAAAUAUAAUAGUGAAGAGUAAUUGAAAGAUUUUAAUUCAAUUAAUUAAAAUACUCAAAAUUGAUGAUAUAAUAUCAAAUAAUUAAAUCAAAAAUAUUUUUUUAUGAAUAAUAAAUUAAAGUUAAAUGAAAAAUAAAUAAGAUUGAAUUACUGUCAAAGAUAAUCUAAAAGAUAAAAUACAAUUCACCACACAAAAAAAUGUCAUAACACAUACGGAUCAACAUAAAAAUGCAAUAUGAUUCCAAGGCAAACAUUACCAACAGAUAACCACUUCUCCUCCUUAACCAUCACAAAUGCUAUUGUUUGAAACUAAAUAAAAGACUUAAUUGUUACACAAUAUUAUCUAAUCACCAAAGCAAAUUCAAAAAAUAUGAAUUGAAUCACAAUACCAUAGUUCUUUGGAAGGCUUCCAAUCAAAAACUACUUUUAAGACAUAACUCCAAAACCCGGCUGCAAAAACACACACAACAGCCGAAUCGAAAAAAUUAAAGCAUUUCAAUCGAAAAAAUAAACAUGACUUAUAUUAUCGUGCAGCUAACUGUUCACCGGGAGUAAAACCCUAAACACAAAAGAGACAUAAGAAUAAGAAUACAAAGUUGAAUAGAAAUAAACAUUGAAAUAGAAUUUAUAGCAAUAGAUACACAUACGUUGGAACAGAUCUAUAGAAGAUGCGAUAAGGAACGGAUUGGUUGAAACUAUACUAAAUCGAUGCGGCAAAUCGUGAUGUGCAAUAUCGAGGAGGUGGAAUUGGAAAGAUUGAAGAUGAUUUUUGAAACAUAAAAGGGUAACAAUAUGGUUAGGAAAAAUUGAAUGGUUCAGAAACAACAAGGUUGAAGAACAUGAAGCAUGAUGUGUAGAAAUAACUUGAGAAUUUUGUUAGUUCAAAAUAGUUAGUUUCAGAUCCAAAGUGAAGUAUGGAUGGUAAAAGGGAAAUGGAGAAAUGGAAAAGAUAGUUUUUAGUUGUGAGCGCAGAGCUGAAGCUGUCCUUAGGGAAGAAAGAAGAGAGAAGGUUGAGAUAAAAGGGUGUUGGAAGAAGGAAGAGAUAUGUUAGAUAAGAGAUACUAUGUGAUAGUAUAAGGAAGAGAAAUGUAAGAAAAUAUGUAUUGAUAAAUCAUCACGAGGGGGAAACAUAUUGUGGGAGAAAACACUCACCCAAAUAAGUGAGGGAAACAUCACAUAUUCAUCCAAAGUCCUAAGGUGAUAGAUGUUUGGGUCG
rnacentral:lncRNA from 1 species